rnacentral:rRNA from 1 species
GACGUAGGGCGCGAGCGUUUGUCCGGAUUUAUUGGGCGUAAAGAGCUCGUAGGCGGCUUGUCGCCGUCGACCGGUGAAAACUUGGGGCUCAACCCCAAGCCUGCGGUCGAUACGGGCAGGCUCGAGUUCGGUGAGGGGAGUACGUGGAAUUCCUGGUGUAGCGGUGAAAUGCGCAGAUAUCAGGAGGAACACCGGUGGCGAAGGCGGGACUCUGGGCCGAUACUGACGCUGAGGAGCGAAAGCGUGGGGAGCAAACAGG